rnacentral:rRNA from 1 species
GAUGAACGCUAGCUACAGGCUUAACACAUGCAAGUCGAGGGGAAACGACAUCGAAAGCUUGCUUUUGAUGGGCGUCGACCGGCGCACGGGUGAGUAACGCGUAUCCAACCUGCCCAUCACUUGGGAAUAACCUUGCGAAAGUAAGACUAAUACCCAAUGAUAUCCCACGAAGGCAUCGGAAUGGGAUUAAAGAUUUAUCGGUGAUGGAUGGGGAUGCGUCUGAUUAGCUUGUUGGCGGGGUAACGGCCCACCAAGGCAACGACCAGUAGGGGUUCUGAGAGGAAGGUCCACCACAUUGGAACUGAGACACGGUCCAAACUCCUACGGGAGGCAGCAGUGAGGAAUAUUGGUCAAUGGGCGAGGGCCUGAACCAGCCAAGUAGCGUGCAGGAAGACGGCCCUAUGGGUUGUAAACUGCUUUUAUAAGGGAAUAAAGUGGGUCACGUGUGACUUUUUGCAUGUACCUUAUGAAUAAGGACCGGCUAAUUCCGUG